CAGUCAUAGGGUACCUCAAACUGAACCAUCUGUCCAAAUGGAAAUGAGCAGAUCUUUUCCUGGACUUUACAACAGGGGAAGAGGAAAACGACGAUUUCCUCCAACAAGCCUGGUCCCAGCGAAAAAGAUGAAACCUUUAGAUGUGGUUUUUUAUUUACUGCCAAAACAUUAUGAAAAAACACCAAAAGAAGAUGAUCAACUGAUACAUAUGAAAGCGGGAUUGGGCCGGAAAACGGCUCACAUCGAUGAGAGCAUAACGCACAAUGAGCUAGGUGAAACGCUUAAAGUUCUUUUUCCAAAGCUGGGAACUAUUGCAGGGGGUUGGCUGCUUUACAAAUCUGCAGGUGGGUGAUGAAGUGGCUGAUAUCAGGUUACAGUAAUAUUAUUAUAAAUGUUCUUUUCAUUAUUUUUGUUAGUGUGAUUUUAAAAUAUUUCUUCCUUCUAAAGAAAUACAACUGGCAGACAAAUUCUGCUGUUCAAAUAGAGCUACACCAGUUUUUGUCUCAGAGCAACAAUCCGAGGCUCCUUCACCCCAUCCAAAAUGCUCUCCUGGUCCCAUCAAUGGCUGUAUUUAACCCAUAUCUACGGAUCCCCUGUAUGUUAUUGCAUAUAUCCUUAAAUUUAGCGUAUGCACACAACGUUGGAGGACUAAAAGGCGACUCUUUUACAUGCCAUCUAUAGACUCUCUGCUGCAGUAGAACAGCUCAUUACGAAAGGCAUCCAUGAAAGAGCAAGUGGGCAGAUGAUAUAUUUACCCUACAAAACAUGGAACAUUGAAAAUUAAAUGUUUGUAAUUAUAGGAAUACCUUUUUCAUCAGCAAAUGUUGUUCUGAAUGCGGUUGUCAAGUAAAUUGAUAUUGUGCUUUGAUUUGAAGCAAAGUCAUAAUGCACAGUUUCUUGUAGGUGGAUGGG